ACGGUGUUUGCCGGGAAUGUUUUAUGUGAAGUGAAACUGCCUUACAGGGAAAUGGGUUCUCAAUUAUCCAACGGAGGGGGAUGUUCCCAUGCCCUGACCUCAUUUCAAAAAUAACAAAUUUCCUGCCUCCGCUGCAGUUAAUUGUUCACUUGCCAGUGCUUCCAGCCAGCAGCCUUAGCCAUUGGCUUGGGAGGACACGAUCAGGGCCCAGACAAAAGAGAUGAUUGGCCCAAUUCCAUCCUCGGCUCUCUGGGAGUCUCUGUUCACGCCAGCUCUCUCCGCGUGGCCAGCCCAGAUCAAGCCUGUCCAUUCGUCUGAGGCUGACAAUUGUGAAUUCGCAGCUCCAGAGAUGGCUCCAGAACCAAAGCUCGCACCUCCAGAACGGUCACUGACAAGUCUGGUUUUGGGGGCAAACGAGUAAUAAGGCUCAAUGGCUGGACAGCUGUUCUGAAACCUGAUUUCUAGAAGCCUGAUGUCAAGCCCUGCCUCUGCCAUCUUGGAAAGACUCUGCUCUGA